AGCAAGUGUAACCCAGGUUUACAUGACACCUUUUCAUUUAAUUCGAUUUAAAUCACAACCCCUUUUAAAAGUUUGUUACUAAUCAGUAAAAAAUACAUGGCUUGUGUAUUGUCGUUCUAAAUAGUGCCACAGAAUGAGAUAAAGAUAUAUAUUGGGAAAAUAUUGCAAAUGAAUGCAUUUAAAUUAUUGAAUCUAAAUAGUAUGGUGUGAUUUGUUAAACCACCUGUAACUCAACAAAGUCGCAUGGCAAGUGGUUUGACUUAGUUAGCCAAUCAGAAAUUAGACCCGCCUCUUUUUAGCGUCAGCAGAUAGCAGUUACGGAGAUUCGUCCUUUUCGGGACGAGCCACAGAUGAAAUUCGACGAUAGACUACUGUUUUUUAAUAGUAACCCAAAGAAGAGAGAUUCCCCGCCACUAAAAGUCCCGAAAAGCCUGUGCAGUAAAUCGAAACCCUUGGCCGGGUUUUUUUGGUUGUGUGGAUUGAGAUUGGAUCCUGGAUCGUCUGCAUCCUGCUCGCCCUCCCUGGAGGUCUGCAGCGGUGUACAGACUGGCGAGCUACCCCCCAUCGGAGCGAUCCUUUUGAACCCUGAACGGAAGGAGCAGGUGUUGUUGUUUCUGCAGUGUGGUAGGGGCAAGAGACUUUGAUUGAUUUAUUUAUUUUUUAAUCGCACGGACCAAACCGGAGUGGUUUUCCAAAUGGACUGAGAGAAGAUAGAUCUUUGGAGUAAGCUGUUCUCAGUUUUGCUGUGUACUGUUUGUUUUGUUGAGACGUGUGAUUCAGGGAUGUUUUAAUUUGGUCAGAGGUGUUUUAAAUCCUGUUGUUUUGUGUCUUUGUUUUGUUUUGUUUUUGUUUUGGAAGACUCUUUUCCAGAGUCUUUUUCUUUAUUUUUCCUGAAUAAAGAGGCUUCCUCAUUGCAAAGUG
ensembl:lncRNA